CUUUCUAAACUAUUUAAUGUCAAGGUUUGUUAAUCAUUACAUGUUCGAUUGAUUUAUAUAAGUGAGGAUGUAUUUAAUAGAAAUAUUUAGCUUACAUUAUUUAAUAGAAAUCUCUUGUUCAUGAUCACUUUAUGAUUGUAUAAACAAAAUACAAAGGGUAAAAAAAUACGUACACUUGAUAAAUUCUCAUAUUUUCCUUUUUUUUCUUUCUUUUAUGAGUCAUUUUCUUUCUUAUCUAUCAAAUGUACAGAUCAAGUGAUUUCUGAUAUAGGUUGAUCUUUUGAAGGUUACACAUCUCUAACUUUUUUAUUUUGUCACUCUAUUCAUCUGUGUUUCCUCUUAUUUUCAAUUUUAUUCUCUCCUCACCAAUGAUUAUGAUCGGGUUUUUUGUAUUGUUUUGAUGAGAUUGAGAUGUUUGUUAGGAUUAUGAGGAUCUCACAAUAAUAAAGGUGAUGCUAAUGUAACACUGGAAAAAUGAUUGAGUUGGUUUCCUUUAUACCACACGAUCUCAUUUUCAUUUUCUUAUAAUUAUUCUGUUUUCUUUUUUUCUUUUUCAUUUUCUACUUAUAAUUAGUAUUUUAGCAUAUUUUUUAAUCUGUAUAACUUAUGUUAAUUGUUUAGUUAUCAGAAUAUAGAAGAUGACAUUGUAUGUUCUUUAGGAUAUAAGUAUAUAUUUAAUUAAUUUUGAUGUUCAAUACAUAUCUUUCUAAACUAUUUAAUGUCAAGGUUUGUUAAUCAUUACAUGUUCGAUUGAUUGAUGUAAUUGAGGAUGUACUUAAUAGAAAUAUUUAGCUUACACUAUUUAAUAGAAAUCUCUUGUUCAUGAUCACUUUAUGAUUGUAUAAACAAAAUACAAAGGGUAAAAAAUACGUACUACUGAAAAAUUGUCAUAUUUUCCUUUAUUUUUCUAUCUUUUAUGAGUAAUUUUUAUUCUUAUCUACCAAAUGUACAGAUCAAGUGAUUUCUGAUAUAGGUUGAUCUUUUGAAGGUUACACAUCUCUAACUUUUUUAUUUUGUCACUCUAUUCAUCAGUGUCUCCUCUUAUUUUCAAUUUUAUUCUUGCCUCACCAAUGAUUAUGAUCGGGUUUUUUGUAUUGUUUUGAUGAGAUUGAGAUGUUUGUUAGGAUUAUGAGGAUCUCACAAUAAUAAAGGUGAUGCUAAUGUAACACUGGAAAAAUGAUUGAGUUGGUUUCCUUUAUACCACACGAUCUCAUUUUCAUUUUCUUAUAAUUAUUCUGUUUUCUUUUUUUCUUUUCAUUUUCUACUUAUAAUUAGUAUUUUAGCAUUUUUUUAAUCUGUAUAACUUAUGUUAAUUGUUUAAUUAUCAGAAUAUAGAAGAUGACAUUGUAUGUUCUUUAGGAUAUAAGUAUAUAUUUAAUUAAUUUUGAUGUUCAAUACAUAUCUUUCUAAACUAUUUAAUGUCAAGGUUUGUUAAUCAUUACAUGUUCGAUUGAUUGAUAUAAUUGAGGAUGUACUUAAUAGAAAUAUUUAGCUUACACUAUUUAAUAGAAAUCUCUUGUUCAUGAUCACUUUAUGAUUGUAUAAACAAAAUACAAAGGGUAAAAAAUACGUACUACUGAAAAAUUGUCAUAUUUUCCUUUUUUUUUCUAUCUUUUAUGAGUAAUUUUUAUUCUUAUCUACCAAAUGUACAGAUCAAGUGAUUUCUGAUAUAGGUUGAUCUUUUGAAGGUUACACAUCUCUAACUUUUUUAUUUUGUCACUCUAUUCAUCUGUGUCUCCUCUUAUUUUCAAUUUUAUUCUUGCCUCACCAAUGAUG